AGUGAACGCUGGCGGUAGGCCUAACACAUGCCAGUCGAACGGCAGCACAGUAAGAGCUUGCUCUUACGGGUGGCGAGUGGCGGACGGGUGAGGAAUACAGCGGAAUCUACUUUUUCGUGGGGGAUAACGUAGGGAAACUUACGCUAAUACCGCAUACGACCUACGGGUGAAAGCAGGGGAUAUUCGGACCUUGCGCGAUUGAAUGAGCCGAUGUCGGAUUAGCUAGUUGGCGGGGUAAAGGCCCACCAAGGCGACGAUCCGUAGCUGGUCUUAGAGGAUGAUCAGCCACACUGGAACUGAGACACGGUCCAGACUCCUACGGGAGGCAGCAGUGGGGAAUACUGGACAAUGGGCGCAAGCCUGAUCCAGCCAUACCGCGUGGGUGAAGAAGGCCUUCGGGUUGUAAAGCCCUUUUGUUGGGAAAGAAAAGCAGCAGGUUAAUACCCCGCUGUUCUGACGGUACCCAAAGAAUAAGCACCGGCUAACUUCGUG
rnacentral:rRNA from 1 species